UAAAUACUCCCUCCGUCCCAAAAUUCUUGUCUUAGAUUUGUCUAUAUAUGAAUGUAUCUAGUCACAUUUUAGUAUGUAAAUACAUACAUUUCUAGACAAACUUAAGACAAGAAUUUUGGGACGGAGGGAGUACUAC
rnacentral:pre_miRNA from 1 species